UACGAAGGGGGCUAGCGUUGUUCGGAAUGACUGGGCGUAAAGGGCGCGUAGGCGGCGAUCUUAGUCAGGCGUGAAAGCCCUGGGCUUAACCUAGGAAUUGCGUUUGAUACUGGGUUGCUGGAGUGCGGGAGAGGAUGGUGGAAUUCCCAGUGUAGAGGUGAAAUUCGUAGAUAUUGGGAAGAACACCGGUGGCGAAGGCGGCCAUCUGGCCUGGAAUUGACGCUGAGGCGCGAAAGCGUGGGGAGCAAACAGG
rnacentral:rRNA from 1 species